GGUGAACGCUAGCGGUGCGCCUAACACAUGCAAGUCGAGCGGUAGACUAGGUGCUUGCACCUAGUUGAGAGCGGCGAACGGGUGAGUAACAUGUUGAUAUCUGCCCCCAAGUCAGGGAUAGCCAUUGGAAACGAUGAUUAAUACCGGAUGUGCUCUACGGAGUAAAGAUUUAUUGCUUGGGGAGGAGUCUACACGGUAUCAGUUAGUUGGUGGGGUAAAGGCCUACCAAGACUAUGACGCCUAGUUGGUCUGAGAGGAUGAUCAGCCACAAUGGAACUGAGACACGGUCCAUACUCCUACGGGAGGCAGCAGUGAGGAAUCUUCCACAAUGGACGCAAGUCUGAUGGAGCGACACCGCGUGAAGGAUGACGGCCUAACGGUUGUAAACUUCUUUUCUGGAGGAGCAUAAUGAGAGUACUUCAGGAAUAAGGGACGGCUAAUUAUG
rnacentral:rRNA from 1 species